GACACCUUAAUCCAACAUCGAGGUCGCAAACCCUUCUUUCAAUGUGAACUCUCCAGAAAGAUUACGCUGUUAUCCCUGUGGUAACUUUUUCCGAUAAUCAGCAAUGCUGGAUCACUUGUUAGUAAACCUAAAUUCUACAAAUUAACAGAGAAGCUUUUCAUGUUCCCUAGUCACCCCAACUAAAGAUGUAAGAAUAAAUUUAAAAUCCUCUAUUCUAAUAGAAACAACCCCUUUAUUCCACACUAAAGCUCAACAGGGUCUUCUCGUCCCUCAGCUAAAUCUAAGCCUUUUCACUUAGAAGUUAAUUUUUAAAUAUUCCAGGAGAGACAGCUCAGCCCUCGUCAAACCAUUCAUACCAGCCUCCAAUUAAAAGGCAAGUGAUUGUGCUACCUUUGCACGGUCAGUGUACCGCGGCCGUUU
rnacentral:rRNA from 1 species